AUGCUGCCAGCUGGCGUCAGGUUCAAUCCCAUGGAUCAGGAGCUGAUCGAGCACCUUGAGGCCAAAGUGAGUGCUGAUAGUGCGAGAUCUCAACCUCUCAUCGAUUUGUUCAUACCAACGAUCGACAGCGAGCACGACAUAUGCUACACCCAACCUGAGAAACUUUCAAGUAUCACACUGAGUGGCCUAAGAAAGCAUUUGUUCAAGAGCAAUUCCAGGGCGUUCAAAAGGGGCACUUGGACGCGUCGCAAGAUACAGUCAGAAUGCUGCAUGCAUGCGAUGUGGCACAAGACCGGCAAUACCUUGUCGGUGAUGGUCAACGGCCGGCUGACGGGCGGCAAAAAGGUUCUGGUGCUGCGCACCAACAAGAACUUCGACCAGCAGAGGACCAACUGGGUGAUGCACCAGUAUCACCUCGGGGACCUGGAGCAAGAUAAGGAGCAGGAGCUGGUCCUCUGCAAGAUUUUAUACCAGACGAACACUAGGGCCAGGAGUAAAAAGAUUAUAAGCCCAGCUCAUGACGACAACGGGGCACAAAGAUCCAGCAGGUACUACCGGCCUCUGGCCCGCCAGCGUUAG
rnacentral:rRNA from 1 species